UUCCCUGGGAGGGGUGGGAUUGGGAGUGUUCUGUUUUCAUUACUGCACCCCUUCCCCUAAAGACAACGGGACUGCCCUCCUCCACAGCGCCUUACCUCAAACAGGGGACCGAUCUUGUUCUUCUCCAGAUAGUGCCUCUUAUGCUUAUGCUGCAAUUAAGCAACUUGUGGAAGAGGCUUAUGUGGUGACAUUAGGAAAAAAGGUUGGACACCUAAUUUGCACAUCAGGACUGCCAUGGACCAUGGUGCAAUGAAGGUGAAGACUGGAGCACUCAUCACCCACGGGUCUCACUUUGUUGCCCAGGCUGGAGUAUAGUGCCCUGAUCACAGCUUGCUGCAACCUCAAGCUCCCAUGCUCAAGCAAGCUUCCUGCCUCAACUUCCCAAGUAGCUGAGACCACAGGCAUGCUCCAUGACACCUGAACUCCUGAACUCAAGCGAUCCUCCUGCCUCAGCCUUCCAAAGUGCUGGGAUUACAGGCAUGAGCCCCUGAACCCUGCCUACCCUCUGUUUCUAUGUGGUGUUUGUCUUUCUAAGCCUGGCCUAUUUCGUGUAACAUAAUUUCCUCCAGAUUUAUCCAUAUUGUCUCAAAUGACCAGAUUUCUUUCUUUUUUAAGGCUGAAUAGUAUUCCAUUGUACAUAUAUACUACAUUUUAUUUAUCCAUUCAUCUGUUGAUGGACACUUAGGUUGAUUCCAUAUCUUGGCUAUUGUGAAUAAGCUGCAAUGAACAUAGGAGUGCAGAUACUGCUUUGACAUAUUCAUUUCAUUUUCUUUGGAUAUGUAUCCAGAAGUGGAAUUGGGCUGGAAUAUAGGCAGUUCUAUUUUUAAUAUUUUGAGGAAACUCCAUAUUACUUUCCAUAAUAGCUGUGCUAAUUUACAUUCCCACCGCCAAUGUAUAAGGGCUUCCUUUUCUCCACAUCCUCUCCAACACUGGUUAUCUCUUGUCUUUUUGAUAUGUUUUCUCUUCUCUGUAAAGCUAUUGGUUGUAGCAUUUUACUUUUUCCAAAUUUUUUUAAUCAAACUUUUGAAAUGUAUAGCUGAAAUGAAAGAAUUUUAGCAUGAAUGCUAAUAUACACUCAGCACCUAUAUUCUUGCUUUUUCAUGUAUUUACUCCUGAAUUAAUAUAUUACUUGUUAUAUGCUUUUGAAAGUAAACUGCAAACAAGUGCAUGCUUCUCCUAGAUCUUUCCACAUGCUCUGCCAUUAAUUAGAGUUCAAUGUUCAAUUUUUUCCUUUUGAUGUACAAUUAAUACACAAUUAAUUUACACACACAUUUUACUUAGUUCUGAAAAAUGUAUAUACUUUUAUAACUCAAAGCCCAUCAUUAUACAACAUUACUAUCACCCUAGCAAAAUCUUUUGUGUCCCUUCUCAAUCACCAAUCCUGACCACACCCCAAGAAAACUACUGUUCAAAUUUUUCUCCAUCAUUGAUUGGCUUUGUCUGUUUUAGAACUUCAUAAAACUAAAAUACUGUAGUAAAUUAUGUACAAUUUUAUGACUAGCUUCCUUUGCUCAAUAUAAUGUUUUCGAGAUUUAUUCAUAUUGCUGCAUGUCAGUAGUUGGUUCUUUUUAUUGCUGCAUAUUUCAUUGAAUAAAAAUGCCAAAGCUUGUUUAUUCAUUCUUGUCUCACAUCAAAGUAUCUGGGGGAUGUUUUCCACUUUUGGCUAUUAGAAAUGAAACAGAUUUGAAUAUUGUCGUACAGGCUUUUUAUGCAUAUAUAUGCCUUCUUUGAGUAAAUACCCAGAAAUUAUGUUACUGGAUCAUAGGUUAAUAUAUGUUUAGUUUUAGAAGAAAAUGCUACCUCUUUUUUCCAAAAUAUUGUCCCAUUUUACACUCCCAGCAGUAAUGUAUGAGAUUUCCAGUUGCUGCACAUCCUUACCAAAAAUUAGCUUUUCUAAUUUUAGUCAUUGUAAGGGGUGUGUAGUGGUGGCUCUAUGUAGUUCUAAUUUGCAUUUCUCUAAUGACUAACGAUGUUAAACAUAUUUUUAUGUACUUGUUUCAUGUACUUGUUGAUAUGUCUAUUCAAUUCCUUUCACCAUUUUUAUGGAGCUGUUUUUUUAUUAUUGAGUUGUAGGAUUUCUUUAUAUAUGCUGCAUACCAGGCCUUUGUUAUAUACAUGCUUUGCAAUGUACAUUGUCUUAAAAUCUGUGGCUUGCCUGUUCAAUUCAUUAGUGGUGUUUUGUUAAGCAGUUUUUAAUUUUGAUGAAGUGUAACUUAUUCAUUUUUUAUUAUGGUUAUUGCUUUAUGUUUCAGGUCCCAAAUUUUGCCUUCUCACAAAUCACAAACAUUAUCCUAUGUUUUCCUUCAAAAAUUAUAUGGUUUUAUGUAUUUUCAAUCUCAAAAUAUUCUCUAAUUUUUUUGCUGAUUUAUUUACUAAAGAAAUUUGAGGGAUUUGCUAUAAUGUUAGGGAUUUUUCUAGAUGCCACAUUGUUAUUGAUUUCUAAUUUAAUUAUAUUAUGCUCAGAAAACAUAUUCUGUAUGCUUUCAACACUUUUAAAUUUAUUGAGACUUGUUGGAGGGUCCAGCAUAUAAUCUAUCUCAGUGAACACACUGUAUUUACUUGAAAAGAUGUAUAUUCUGCAGUUAUUCAGUGUAGUGUUCUAUAAAAUCAUUUAGGUCAAGGUGGUUGAUAGUUUGUUCAAAUCCAUCUACGUCUUCAUUAAUUUUAUUUAUCUGGCUCUAUCAAUUGCUAAAAGAAUGUUGUUAAAAAUUGUCAACUAUGAUUUUAGAAUCAUUUAUUUCUCCCUUUGAUUAAUGAAUGUUGUUUCAUGAAUUUUGAAGCUAUUCAGAGACAAAAAAAAACUAUUUAUGAAUAUUGUCUUCCUAAAUGAACU
rnacentral:lncRNA from 1 species